rnacentral:rRNA from 1 species
GUAGGGAAUAUUGGACAAUGGGGGCAACCCUGAUCCAGCGACGCCGCGUGAGUGAUGAAGGCCUUCGGGUCGUAAAGCUCUGUUGCAGGGGAAGAACACAAUGAAGGUACCCUGUAAGAAAGGAUCGGCUAACUUCGUGCCAGCAGCCGCGGUAAGACGAGGGAUCCUAGCGUUGUUCGGAAUCAUUGGGCGUAAAGCGGAUGUAGGUGGCUAUGUAAGUCAGAUGUGAAAGCCUGGGGCUCAACCCCAGAAGUGCAUUUGAUAGUGCGUAGCUUGAGUGUCGGAGAGGUUACUAGAAUUGUUGGUGUAGUGGUGAAAUACGUAGAUAUCAACAGGAAUACAGGAGGCGAAGGCGGGUAACUGGCCGAACACUGACACUGAGAUCCGAAAGCGUGGGGAUCAAACAGGAUUAGAAACCCCGGUAUCC